CACGUAGGGUGCAAGCGUUGUCCGGAUUCAUUGGGCGUAAAGGGCUAGUAGGCGGCUUAGCAAGUCGGGUGUGAAAUUUCCAGGCUUAACCUGGAACCGCCAUCCGAUACUGCUAUGGCUAGAGUCCGGUAGGGGACCACGGAAUUCCUGGUGUAGCGGUGAAAUGCGCAGAUAUCAGGAGGAACACCAGCGGUGUAGACGGCUUUCUGGACCAUUGCUGACGCUGAGACACGAAAGCGUGGGUAGCAAACAGG
rnacentral:rRNA from 1 species